UACAGAGGUCCCGAGCGUUGUUCGGAUUCACUGGGCGUAAAGGGUGCGCAGGUGGGUUGGCAAGUUUGAUGUGAAAGCCCCGGGCUUAACCCGGGAAUGGCAUUGAAUACUGCUGAUCUGGAGGAUCGGAGGGGGACUGGAAUUCUUGGUGUAGCAGUGAAAUGCGUAGAUAUCAAGAGGAACACCAGUGGCGAAGGCGAGUCCCUGGACGAUACCUGACACUGAGGCACGAAGGCCAGGGGAGCAAACGGG
rnacentral:rRNA from 1 species